rnacentral:rRNA from 1 species
CGCCUACGGGAGGCAGCAGUGAGGAAUAUUGGCCAAUGGACGGAAGUCUGAACCAGCCAUGCCGCGUGCAGGAAGAAGGCUCUAUGAGUUGUAAACUGCUUUUGUACAAGGGUAAACAUGAAUACGUGUAUUCAGCUGAAAGUACUGUACGAAUAAGGAUCGGCUAACUCCGUGACAGCAGCCGCGGUAAUAAGGAGGAUCCAAGCGUUAUCCGGAUUUAUUGGGUUUAAAGGGUGCGUAGGAGGAUUGAUAAGUUAGAGGUGAAAUGUCCGAGCUCAACUCGGGAACUGCCUCUAAUACUGUUG